GAUGAACGCUGGCGGCGUGCCUAAUACAUGCAAGUCGAGCGAACAGACGAGAAGCUUGCUUCUCUGAUGUUAGCGGCGGACGGGUGAGUAACACGUGGAUAACCUACCUAUAAGACUGGGAUAACUUCGGGAAACCGGAGCUAAUACCGGAUAAUAUUUUGAACCGCAUGGUUCAAAAGUGAAAGACGGUUUUGCUGUCACUUAUAGAUGGAUCCGCGCUGCAUUAGCUAGUUGGUAAGGUAACGGCUUACCAAGGCAACGAUGCAUAGCCGACCUGAGAGGGUGAUCGGCCACACUGGAACUGCGACACGGUCCAGACUCCUACGGGAGGAAGCAGUAGGGAAUCUUCCGCAAUGGGCGAAAGCCUGAAGGAGCAAAGUCGCGUGAGUGAUGAAGGUCUUCGGAUCGUAAAACUCUGUUAUUAGGGAAGAACAAAUGUGUAAGUAACUAUGCACGUCUUGACGGUACCUAAUCAGAAAGCCACGGCUAACUACGUG
rnacentral:rRNA from 1 species